GACGAACGCUGGCGGCGUGCUUAACACAUGCAAGUCGAACGAUGAAGCCCAGCUUGCUGGGUGGAUUAGUGGCGAACGGGUGAGUAACACGUGAGUAACCUGCCCUUGACUCUGGGAUAAGCGCUGGAAACGGCGUCUAAUACCGGAUACGACCUGCCCCGGCAUCGGGUGCGGGUGGAAAGUUUUUCGGUCAAGGAUGGACUCGCGGCCUAUCAGCUUGUUGGUGAGGUAAUGGCUCACCAAGGCGACGACGGGUAGCCGGCCUGAGAGGGUGACCGGCCACACUGGGACUGAGACACGGCCCAGACUCCUACGGGAGGCAGCAGUGGGGAAUAUUGCACAAUGGGCGAAAGCCUGAUGCAGCAACGCCGCGUGGGGGAUGACGGCCUUCGGGUUGUAAACCUCUUUUAGUAGGGAAGAAGGACUUCGGUUUGACGGUACCUGCAGAAAAAGCACCGGCUAACUACGUGCCAGCAGCCGCGGUAAUACGUAGGGUGCAAGCGUUGUCCGGAAUUAUUGGGCGUAAAGAGCUCGUAGGCGGUUUGUCGCGUCUGCUGUGAAAACCCGAGGCUCAACCUCGGGCCUGCAGUGGGUACGGGCAGACUAGAGUGCGGUAGGGGAGAAUGGAAUUCCUGGUGUAGCGGUGGAAUGCGCAGAUAUCAGGAGGAACACCGAUGGCGAAGGCAGUUCUCUGGGCCGUUACUGACGCUGAGGAGCGAAAGCGUGGGGAGCGAACAGGAUUAGAUACCCUGGUAGUCCACGCCGUAAACGUUGGGAACUAGAUGUGGGGACCUUUCCACGGUCUCCGUGUCGCAGCUAACGCAUUAAGUUCCCCGCCUGGGGAGUACGGCCGCAAGGCUAAAACUCAAAGGAAUUGACGGGGCCCGCACAAGCGGCGGAGCAUGCGGAUUAAUUCGAUGCAACGCGAAGAACCUUACCAAGGCUUGACAUAUACCGGAAACUUCCAGAAAUGGUUGCCCCGCAAGGUCGGUAUACAGGUGGUGCAUGGUUGUCGUCAGCUCGUGUCGUGAGAUGUUGGGUUAAGUCCCGCAACGAGCGCAACCCUCGUUCUAUGUUGCCAGCACGUCAUGGUGGGAACUCAUAGGAGACUGCCGGGGUCAACUCGGAGGAAGGUGGGGAUGACGUCAAAUCAUCAUGCCCCUUAUGUCUUGGGCUUCACGCAUGCUACAAUGGCCGGUACAAAGGGCUGCGAUACCGUAAGGUGGAGCGAAUCCCAAAAAGCCGGUCUCAGUUCGGAUUGAGGUCUGCAACUCGACCUCAUGAAGUCGGAGUCGCUAGUAAUCGCAGAUCAGCAACGCUGCGGUGGAUACGUUCCCGGGCCU
rnacentral:rRNA from 1 species